rnacentral:misc_RNA from 1 species
CUACUGCCCCCUCCUUCCAUCCUCACGCCUGCAAUAUUGCUCCCCCUCUCUCUCUCUCUCCGUCUCUCUCUCUCCGUAUGUGUUUGGGCACGAAUGUUGAUUUCCUAUAAAUUAGGACAGCAACACUUUUAAUUACUUGGUUGUUUCUGGGUGCUGCAUCAAUUUGUUUCAUGAGUUGGAAUGGGUUUUGCUGACAAUACACUGCAAACAGAAUCAAAAAGUGUGGUAUCAUUCAGCAACUGCAGCCAUUCUGAGGGAAAAUCGGGAAGACUGCCUAUGGAAAAUGGUCAUUAUGAUUCUUGUGCUGGUUUGCCUAAGUAUAAGCGGCGGAGAGUUUCAGCCGUUAGGGAUUUCCCCCCUGGGUGUGGACGAUUUGCCCCACGGAUCUCUUUGAGACUGAAUGGAGAAGCCAUUUGUGUUGGUAUAGCUGAGAAUUCAGUAGACCAGGGGAAGUGUGGUGAUGCAUUUGGGGAUGGAACUAGGCUUGAGUCCCAAUCUCCCAAAGUGUUGGAAAAUUUGGAUCUUACAGAUCAGCCAAGGCAAAAAAAAUCAUGUGGAGUCCAAAGCAGAAGCACCAGUGGUAUCAUCUGAUCCGAUGGAUGGGCUUAUUGCAGUAAAUAUAACACCUGUUAAGAUGCCAUCGCCAGGAGCUCCAGACACUUUGAGUAAUGCGGAGGAUAUUAAACCAUUAAAAACUUUAGAACGUGCAAAGAUUGAUGUGCCAAAGGAUAUGGAUAAAGUGGAUAUUUCUGCUCUAGUGGAAUCCAUGGUCCCACGAAAUUAUCCUCCUCCUCGGAGGAUUUCAGCUGUCAGAGACUUCCCUCCAUUUUGUGGAAGAAAUGCUCCACGUCUUAUUAAAGAGAGUGCAAAUAUUAUUCUUGCUUCUACAGAGAAGAGGAAUAUUGGUAAAGAGAAUUGUGCUGAAGAAGAGCUGAUGAAAUGUGCAGUGAAGACUGAUAUGAAGCAAGUGGGAGACAAUGUUCAAAAUGGAGAUGCCCACAAGAAUAGAUUGGAGAGGAAUAUUUCUAGUCUGAGAUUGGUUAAUACUCAAGUUGAAUCCGAAGGACCUACUUCUAUGGAUAUGAAGAAUCAAGAUGAGUAUGGAGCUUCUUGUGAGAAUGAGAUGAAGGUGAUCCAAGAGGAUUUACCAGAAGAAAGCAUCAAAUCUCCUCAGGAAAGCAUUCAAAAUCAAUGUGACUUGAAGUCUGAGGCAGCCCCUGAAUCAGGAAAGAGAAUUAUUGGAGGUCUGGAGGAUAAUUUAGAGAUGGAUUUUGCAUUUAAGAUGGAGAAGAAAAGCUCAGGGAGAAAGCUUUUAGACUUAUCUUUCUGUACAAAUACAAUGUUAGAGGAGGACAAAGAAGGUCUGGAGUUUGCAUUGGACAGGGUUGUUGUGCAGGGUCUUAUGGCUGCAGGGAAUGAUCCUUGGAGGCAGGGAAAAAUGGCCCAUAAAUGUAAAACCUUGGCAGGUGGUACAGAUAGAGGCAAAGGGAAGAAAAAUGAUUUCACAAUCCAACAACGUUCUGGAUCUGCUGUCAGGACAAAGAAGAACAAUGUUGAUAACUUUGGAGGGACACACAUGAAGAAGAAUAAGAAUUCAUCUCCUAGUGGCAAGGCUUAUCAAGGCAUAGGUCAGAUGGUUGUAUGGGAUACAAAAGAUGAUGUUCAGCAUGGUAGUGAAUCUGAUGAUUUUCAAUUGAUUAGGAGUUCUUGUAAUUUUGGUGUGACACUUCCUCCUUCCUGUCCCAGCAGUUUGAGUAAUAAAGACGAUGGUAAUGAUGUGUUUGUCACCAGAAACAAAGUUAGGGAAACAUUGCGUCUAUUCCAAGUUGUCUAUAGGAAACUUGUUAAGGAAGAAGAGUCUAAGUCGAAAAAUAUUAAGAGGCCUGAUUUAGCUGCAGCAAAUGUUCUUAGAAAAAAAGGAAAAUAUGUAAACACAAACAAGAACAUCAUUGGCUCUGUUCCAGGUGUUGAAGUUGGGGAUGAGUUUCAGUACAGGGUGGAGCUUAAUAUUAUUGGUCUUCAUCGCCAAAUUCAAGGAGGUAUAGAUUUUGUGAAGGAAGGUAAUAGUGUCCUUGCAACAAGUAUUGUAGCAUCUGGGGGCUAUGAUGAUGAUAUGGAUGACUCAGAUGUUUUGAUAUAUACGGGUUCAGGAGGGAAUGUAAAGGUUGGAGAUAAGGAACCCGAAGAUCAGAAGCUUGAACGAGGUAAUCUUGCUUUGAAGAAUAGUGUGGAUGCAAAGAAUCCUGUGAGGGUCAUUCGUGGAGUGUCUGAAUCAUCCAAAGCAAAAACUAGGACAUAUGUCUAUGAUGGACUAUAUUUGGUGACGAAGUGUUGGCAGGAAAUGGGGCAACACGGAAAACUUGUCUUCAAGUUUAGGUUGGAUCGAAUUCCAGGUCAACCAGAGCUUGCUUGGAAAGUGGUGAAGAAGUCCACAAAAUUUAAAGUACGAGAGGGUCUCUGUGUAGAUGAUAUCUCUAAAGGUAAAGAGUUGAUUCCCAUUUGUGCUGUGAACACCAUAGACGAUGAAAAGCCUCCACUGUUUGAAUACAUCACUCAUGUUAUAUAUCCUAAUUGGUGCUGCCCUAUUCCUCCAAGGGGCUGUGAUUGUCCUAAUGGCUGCUCUGAAACUGGGAAAUGUUCAUGUGUGGCAAAAAAUGGAGGAGAGAUCCCAUAUAACCAUAAUGGGGCUAUUGUUGAAGCACAACCUCUGGUCUAUGAGUGUGGUCCUUCUUGCAAGUGUCCUCCUUCUUGCUACAAUAGAGUCAGCCAGAAUGGUAUCAAGUUCCAGCUUGAAAUAUUCAAAACUGAAUCAAGAGGAUGGGGUGUGAGAUCUUUAAAUUCAAUCCCUUCAGGAAGUUUUAUCUGUGAGUAUGCAGGAGAGCUUCUUGAAGAGAAGGAAGCUGAACAAAGAAUUGGCAAUGAUGAUUAUUUAUUUGAUAUUGGAAAUAACUGCAGUGACAGUUCUCUCUGGGAUGGACUUUCAAACCUCCUAACUGAGACAAAAUUAAGUUCUUGUGAAGUUAUGGAGGAGAGUUGCUUCACCAUUGAUGCAGCAAAGUACGGCAAUGUGGGGAGAUUCAUCAAUCAUAGUUGUUCCCCCAAUCUCUAUGCGCAAAAUGUUCUCUAUGAUCAUGAGGACAAGAGAAUUCCUCACAUAAUGCUGUUUGCUGCUGAGAAUAUUCCUCCCUUGCAAGAGCUAACAUACCAUUACAAUUAUACAAUAGAUCAGGUUCAUGAUUCUGAUGGCAAUAUAAAGAAGAAGAGUUGCUACUGUGGUUCUUCAGAGUGCACUGGGAGGAUGUAUUGACGCUGUCUAGCAAAAGAGUUGGAUUUAGAAGCAGCUGUGUUUUACUUGUCAAAGGAUUCUCAUGUUUGCGACCAACGAAUCGUAACCCCAGUCAGUUGUCAUAUGUUGUGGUCAAUUAAAUUAGUGGCUCGGAAGAUCAUUUGAUAAUGUAAUCUUAGUCUUUGCAAAUUCCAAGUGUUGUUUGUUGUGAGUUCUAGGUUUGUAUAUGCACUGGUAAUUUUUAAUUAUCAUCUUUGCAACGCAUAUAAUAGAAAACAGAAGCUCUAGCGUUUUGCCUAGCCAUUUUGAAC